rnacentral:rRNA from 1 species
UACGUAGGGUGCAAGCGUUGUCCGGAAUUAUUGGGCGUAAAGAGCUCGUAGGCGGUUCGUCGCGUCGGCUGUGAAAACCUGAGGCUCAACCUCAGGCCUGCAGUCGAUACGGGCGGACUUGAGUACUGCAGGGGAGACUGGAAUUCCUGGUGUAGCGGUGAAGUGCGCAGAUAUCAGGAGGAACACCGGUGGCGAAGGCGGGUCUCUGGGCAGUAACUGACGCUGAGGAGCGAAAGCGUGGGGAGCAAACAGG